CCGAGUCGUAUCGGCAUUCCAAUUCCAUAGUUCGAAACCCAGGGGAAGCCGGUCGAAAUCCGGCGCUGACCCGCAACCGUAGGCGGUGGCCGCAAGGCCGCCGCGAGUCGGAAUACCUGGGUGCGUACGAGUUUUGUC
rnacentral:ncRNA from 2 species